rnacentral:lncRNA from 1 species
AUUCCUCCGCGGAUCAGACCAUGCUCCUUCCACAUUGAAAGCCUGUGCUCACACUUUGAAUAUGUUGACUGAAAGACCUUCAUGAGCCGGACACGCUCCUUGGUGUUACACUUGCAGGAGUUGCCGAUGGAGGCCUGCAGUACUCUCGGAGUUGUUGGCAGCUUUAAAGGACUUGACCAAUUGGAUCUAACAGACAUCUACAGAAAAUUCCACCCAGCAAUUACAGAAUAUACAUUGUUCUCAACUGCAUGUGGAGCAUAUUCUAAGAUAAAAUAGUCAUAAAUCAAGCCUCAAUAAAUUCGAAAAAAUGAAAUCAUAUCAUACCAAGCACAAUCUUGAACCACAGUGCAAUAAGAAAAGAAAUCAAUGCCAGGCCAGGCAUGGUGGCUCAUGCCUGUAAUCCCAGUGCUUUGGGAGGCUGAGAUGGGUGGAUCACUAGGUCAAGAGAUCAAGACCAUCCUGGCCAACAUGGUGAAAUCCCAUCUCUACUAAAAAUACAAAAACUAGCUGGGCAUGGUGGCACAUGCCUAUAAUCCCAGCUAUUCAGGAAACUGAGGCCAGAGAAUCACUUGAACCUGGGAGGCGG